rnacentral:rRNA from 1 species
AUGGCCCUUACAUCCCGGGCUACACACGUGCUACAAUGGGUGGUACAAAGAGAGGCAAGCUCGCGAGAGUAAGCAAAUCUCAAAAAGCCAUCCUCAGUUCGGAUUGGAGUCUGCAACUCGACCCCAUGAAGUCGGAAUCGCUAGUAAUCGCGGAUCAGCAUGCCGCGGUGAAUACGUUCCCGGGCCUU